CCUCCCCCUGGCUCUCUCCCCUCACUGGUUGCUUUGAUUAUUAGAACAAAGCGGAUGAGACGUAUUUGUGAAAAAUUCUUCUCACAGAUGAACAUGUUUGUUGAUGCCUAGACCUGAUGCAUAUGGUUUUCCUUUUGGACUUGGGUAUAUGGUCUAAAUUUCAUAGGAAGUCAUGUAGCAUUUUGCUUGGGUUCAUUUGAAUAUUCUAAAUUCAUCCGCGUGUUUUCUUUUGCCUGCACACUCUGUUAGUUUUUAUCUCUUUUUAUAAGUUACGAAAUUCUGUAUGAGGAGGCCAAUCAAGCAGCAAAUUUGGUAAAAUAUAAAUAGUCUCGCCUGGGUGAGGAACACUACGGGAUUCCACAACCCAUUUUCUUACUUUCACUUUUUAUAUACAAUUUUUGAGGAUUGAUUUGGAUCCUUGGUGCCUUCUCCUAAGGUUUGUAAUUUGUAAUUUGCUAUUUGAUUUUUCUUUUCGUAGGGUCUGUUAUUUCCACCUUGAUUCCCAUUUUCUAGGGUAUCAAACAUCACGUUGGUUAAUUGGUCGGCAAGAUAUGGCGUUUAUUGCUUCAGGUCCAAUUAAAAUGCUUCAGGUCCGACUGAAAUGUUUAUUGCUUCCAUUGGUCAAAUGCGUUGGUGGUCUUCGAGUAAUCGCGAGCCGUGGUCUGUCCAGAGAUCUCUGCAAGGAGCUGGUGGAAGGGUGCUCGUCUCUGGACAGCUCCUGCUUCUCCAUCUCCACGGUCUCUGGUGGCAUCACCAAGCUAUAUUGUCAUAUAACUUAAUGAAUGCACCACUGUAAGAUUGCUUGCUGGUACUAUUUAUCAAGGCGGGUGAUGGCGGCGGCAGCGGCCUCGGGUGGUGGAGGAUGGCGUCUGUCGAGGCACCAACAGGUGCAGCUUGUUGGUUGUGGCUUGGCAAGCGUCGUCUCGGCGAGUGCCGGUGCGGCUUCUUCUUUUUUCCUUCCGGUGAGCACCUUGUGCUGGGCACUGGAGUAUUGCAUGCCCUUUUUGGAUGAGAUUUGUGUAUCCACGUGCUGCUGCCCAUCUACAUGACUUGAGGUUGUCCCGUUUGUUCUAGCGGAGGCAGGUCUUCUGUGAGGAUUGUAGCUGCAGGAGAUAGGGUCAGUACACCAGAUUUCAGCAUCACAGUCAUUGUACUGGUUGCCGCAGUGAUGCUUCUCCGCACAGGUGCCGGUGGUUGCGACUGUCGACAAUUGUGUGUCAUACAACAUGUCCAUCACAUGUUUGAUCAGGCUGCCUCAGUGACGGUUAUGACCGUGGCGCAGGUCACUUAUUGCUGCAAUAGCUGGGGAGGUUGGAAAGGAGCGUGAAUUGUAUGGCCAGUCUCUUGUAAUCGUCCUCCCUAAACUUUGAUUUGAUAUUUCAGCAUCUGUUGUACUGCAAUUUAAUUAUAUAUAUUACACUUCAUACCUAAGUUGUGCAUGAAGUGAUAUUUCUUCAGCAAAAGUUACCUGACGGUAUUUAUUACAGUGUAUUUGACAUAUAAGGAACCUGAGUACAAAAUAAAAUGGCUGAUAUGUGGCAUGCAUCUAAGUUGUUAGAUGUUUCCAUUUUUUAGUUCCAUAGAUGAGAAGAUGCGACUCAGGACGUACUCCUUGGACACGAGACAGACGCGCGGCCGGGCCGCUUCAGCGCUGCCUGCAGCCUUGGGCAAGCUGAUACUGUCACCAGCGCAGGGCGGCGUGCGCUUGAGAUUCCACUCGAGAUCGACCGGAUUCGACCGGAUUUUGUAGUCAGUCGAGUUGUAGUGUUCAGGAAUCAGAUCUUGUGAGGUUGUUAAAUUUCAGAGAAGAUGUAAACUGGUAUGAGUUUCAGAAUUAUAUGGCCAUAUGCUCUGUAAUUUUAUCCUAA